UCAGGAUGAACGCUAGCGACAGGCUAACACAUGCAAGUCGAGGGGCAGCAUAAAAGUAGCAAUACUUGGUGGCGACCGGCGCACGGGUGAGUAACGCGUAUGCAACCUACCUAUCAGAGGGGAAUAACCCGGCGAAAGUCGGACUAAUACCGCAUAAAACAGGGGCACCGCAUGGUGAUAUUUGUUAAAGAGAUUCGCUGAUAGAUGGGCAUGCGUUCCAUUAGGUAGUUGGUGAGGUAACGGCUCACCAAGCCGACGAUGGAUAGGGGAACUGAGAGGUUGGUCCCCCACACUGGUACUGAGACACGGACCAGACUCCUACGGGAGGCAGCAGUGAGGAAUAUUGGUCAAUGGGCGAGAGCCUGAACCAGCCAAGUCGCGUGAAGGGAAAAGAAGGAUCUAUGGUUCGUAAACUUCUUUUGCAGGGGAAUAAAGUGCAGGACGUGUCCUGUUUUGUAUGUACCCUGAGAAUAAGGAUCGGCUAACUCCGUGCCAGCAGCUGC
rnacentral:rRNA from 1 species